GACGAACGCUGGCGGCGUGCUUAACACAUGCAAGUGGUGCGACGAACCAGACUUCGGUCUGGGGCAAAGCCGCGAACGGGUGAGUAACACGUGAGUAAUCUGCCCCGAUGACCGGGACAACCCGAGGAAACUCGGGCUAAUACCGGAUGAUGAGCCUUGGCGUAAGCCUUGUCUCUAAAGGAAGCUUCGGCCUCCGCAUCGGGAGGAGCUCGCGGCCCAUUAGCUUGUUGGUGGGGUAAUGGCCUACCAAGGCAACGAUGGGUAGCUGGUCUGAGAGGACGAUCAGCCACACUGGAACUGAGACACGGUCCAGACUCCUACGGGAGGCAG
rnacentral:rRNA from 1 species